UUUCAGUAGGGACGAAGCGCAAGUGACGGUACCUGCAGAAGAAGCACCGGCUAACUACGUGCCAGCAGCCGCGGUAAUACGUAGGGUGCGAGCGUUGUCCGGAAUUACUGGGCGUAAAGAGCUCGUAGGCGGUUUGUCACGUCGUCUGUGAAAUCCCUCGGCUUAACCGGGGGCGUGCAGGCGAUACGGGCAGACUUGAGUACUACAGGGGAGACUGGAAUUCCUGGUGUAGCGGUGAAAUGCGCAGAUAUCAGGAGGAACACCGGUGGCGAAGGCGGGUCUCUGGGUAGUAACUGACGCUGAGGAGCGAAAGCAUGGGUAGCGAACAGGAUUAGAUACCCUGGUAGUCCAUGCCGUAAACGGUGGGCGCUAGGUGUGGGGUCCUUCCACGGACUCCGUGCCGUAGUAACGCAUUAAG
rnacentral:rRNA from 1 species